ACGGUGUGGGAUCCCGUGGAGUUGGGUUUACAGCCUGUUGUGAACCACCUGGCAUGGCUGCUGAAGAUCAAACUCUGGUUCUCCGGAAGAGGAAAGCAGUCGUAACCACUGGGCGAGUUUUCCAGCCCAGCGUUUAGAUCCGAAGUAGAUUUUAUAGGCUACAGAUGGGGAAAAAGGGCUGGAGAGACAGCUCAGCAGUUCAGAGCAUUGGCUGUUCUUCCAGAGAACCCUGGGUCAAUCCCGGCACCCACAUGGCAAGCUCACAACUCUCUGUUCUAUAACUCAGCUUCUAGUGGAUCUGACCUUCUCACACAAACACCACAUGUACAUAAAAAUAAAUAAAUUUUUAAAACUU